rnacentral:rRNA from 1 species
AACGAACGCUGGCGGCAUGCCUAACACAUGCAAGUCGAACGAGACCUUCGGGUCUAGUGGCGCACGGGUGCGUAACGCGUGGGAACAUGCACUUAGGUUCGGCAUAACUCCCCGAAAGGGGUGCUAAUACCGGAUAAUGUCUUCGGCCCAAAGAUUUAUCGCCUUUGGAUGGGCCAGCGUUGGAUUAGCUGGUUCGUAGGGUAAAAGCCUACCACGGCGACGAUCAAUAGCUGGUCUGAGAGGAUGCUCAGCCACACUGAGACUGAGACACGGCCCAGACUCCUACGGGAGGCAGCAGUGGGUAAUAUUGGACAAUGGGCGAAAGCCUGAUCCAGCAAUGCCGCGUGAGUGAUGAAGGCCGUAGGGUUGUAAAGCUCUUUUACCCAGGAUGAUAAUGACAGUACCGGGAGAAUAAGCUCCGGCUAACUCCGUG